ACCAAUCUCUCGCUCGGCUACUAUUUAAUAGUAUUUAUACCUAUCUUCUUUGAACCCGAAAAUUUUCAGAGGCCGAUAUUAGGACGAGAUUGUUGGGAAAACAGGGUCGGAAAAUAAGAACAAGCGAAGAAGAUCAAGAUGUCGUGGCAAACGUAUGUUGAUGAGCACCUGAUGUGCGAGAUCGACGGCCAGCAUCUCACCGCCGCAGCCAUCGUCGGCCACGAUGGCAGUGUCUGGGCACAGAGCUCCAGCUUCCCUCAGUUUAAGCCGGAAGAAAUUGCUGCGAUCAUGAAAGAUUUUGAUGAACCUGGCUCUCUUGCCCCAACUGGGUUGCACCUUGGCGGCACAAAGUACAUGGUCAUCCAGGGAGAGGCCGGAGCUGUUAUUCGUGGGAAGAAGGGUGCCGGUGGCAUCACUGUGAAAAAAACCGGCCAAGCUUUGAUUUUUGGAAUAUACGAUGAACCUUUGACUCCUGGACAGUGUAACAUGAUUGUUGAGAGGCUGGGGGAUUAUCUGGUUGAACAGGGCCUGUAGGGUCAAAUCAUGAAGGUUUUCCUAUUGUGAUAUUCGGUUUUGGGCUUGCGUUUUCAUGGACUGGCAGUGGAGUUGUUGCUAAAAAUAACCUUGUAUCCAUUCCCGUUUUGCUCCUAUUGAGUCUGUCUUUUAAAUGUUAUUAAAAUACCCUUGUAUUUCUUUCUUCUAUAUGACGAUAUGAUUUGGACUCUUAAACUGGUAGUUUAGAAUAGUAUUUCGGCUUGUUAUGAAA